AUUGAACGCUGGCGGCAUGCCUUACACAUGCAAGUCGAACGGUAACAGGUCUUCGGAUGCUGACGAGUGGCUAACGGGUGAGUAAUACAUCGGAACGUGCCCGAUCGUGGGGGAUAACGCAGCGAAAGCUGUGCUAAUACCGCAUACGAUCUACGCAUGACAUCGGGGGAUCGCAAGACCUCGCGCGGACGGAGCGGCCGAUGGCAGAUUAGGUAGUUGGUGGGAUAAAAGCUUACCAAGCCGACGAUCUGUAGCUGUCUGAGAGGACGACCAGCCACACUGGGACUGAGACACGGCCCAGACUCCUACGGGAGGCAGCAGUGGGGAAUUUUGGACAAUGGGCGCAAGCCUGAUCCAGCCAUGCCGCGUGCAGGAUGAAGGCCUUCGGGUUGUAAACUGCUUUUGUACGGAACGAAAAAGCUCUCUCUAAUACAGGGGGUGAAUGACGGUACCGUAAGAAUAAGCACCGGCUAACUACGUG
rnacentral:rRNA from 1 species